GGAUGAACGCUGGCGGCGUGCCUAAUACAUGCAAGUCGAGCGAACAGAUAAGGAGCUUGCUCCUUUGAAGUUAGCGGCGGACGGGUGAGUAACACGUGGGUAACCUACCUAUAAGACUGGGAUAACUUCGGGAAACCGGAGCUAAUACCGGAUAACAUUUAGAACCGCAUGGUUCUAAAGUGAAAGAUGGUGUUGCUAUCACUUAUAGAUGGACCCGCGCCGUAUUAGCUAGUUGGUAAGGUAACGGCUUACCAAGGCGACGAUACGUAGCCGACCUGAGAGGGUGAUCGGCCACACUGGAACUGAGACACGGUCCAGACUCCUACGGGAGGCAGCAGUAGGGAAUCUUCCGCAAUGGGCGAAAGCCUGACGGAGCAACGCCGCGUGAGUGAUGAAGGGUUUCGGCUCGUAAAACUCUGUUAUUAGGGAAGAACAAAUGUGUAAGUAACUGUGCACAUCUUGACGGUACCUAAUCAGAAAGCCACGGCUAACUACGUGCCAGCAGCCGCG
rnacentral:rRNA from 1 species